ACGGAAGGCAGCAGUGAGGAAUAUUGGUCAAUGGGCGGAAGCCUGAACCAGCCAAGUCGCGUGAGGGAAGACGGCCCUACGGGUUGUAAACCUCUUCUGCGCGGGGGUAAAGUCGGGGACGGGUCCCCGAUUGCAAGUACCGCGCGAAAAAGGAUCGGCUAACUCCGUGCCAGCAGCCGCGGUAAUACGGAGGAUCCGAGUGUUAUCCGGAUUUAUUGGGUUUAAAGGGUGCGCAGGCGGGAUGUCAAGUCAGUGGUGAAAUGGUGCGGCUCAACCGUAGCAUUGCCGUCGAAACUGGCGUCCUUGAGUGCGAAUGAGGUACGCGGAACGUGUCAUGUAGCGGUGAAAUGCAUAGAUAUGACACAGAACACCGAUUGCGAAGGCAGCGUACUGGGACGCGACUGACGCUGAGGCACGAAAGUGCGGGGAUCGAACAGGAUUAGAUACCCUA
rnacentral:rRNA from 1 species